UACGGAGGGGGUUAGCGUUGUUCGGAAUGACUGGGCGUAAAGCGCGCGUAGGCGGAUCAGGAAGUUGGGGGUGAAAUCCCGGGGCUCAACCCCGGAAUGGCCUUCAAAACUCCUGGUCUUGAGUUCGAGAGAGGUGAGUGGAAUUCCGAGUGUAGAGGUGAAAUUCGUAGAUAUUCGGAGGAACACCAGUGGCGAAGGCGGCUCACUGGCUCGACACUGACGCUGAGGUGCGAAAGCGUGGGGAGCAAACAGGAUUAGAAACCCUGUAGUCC
rnacentral:rRNA from 1 species